UGGCUAAAUAUUUUANUCUNAAAAAAUGNAGUUCGAAUUCAAGAUUGGUGUAGUAAAUUACCUUUAACCAU
rnacentral:tRNA from 1 species